UUCCAGACUCCUACGGGAGGCAGCAGUGGGGGAUAUUGCACAAUGGGGGAAACCCUGAUGCAGCGACGCCGCGUGUGGGAAGACGGUCCUCUGGAUUGUAAACCACUGUCCCCAGGGACGAAGAUGACGGUACCUGGGGAGGAAGCUCCGGCUAACUACGUGCCAGCAGCCGCGGUAAUACGUAGGUGGCAAGCGUUGUCCGGAUUUACUGGGUGUAAAGGGCGUGUAGCCGGGAAGGCAAGUCAGAUGUGAAAUCUGGAGGCUCAACCUCCAAAUUGCAUUUGAAACUGUUUUUCUUGAGUACUGGAGAGGCAGACGGAAUUCCUUGUGUAGCGGUGAAAUGCGUAGAUAUAAGGAGGAACACCAGUGGCGAAGGCGGUCUGCUGGACAGCAACUGACGGUGAGGCGCGAAAGCGUGGGGAGCAAACAGGAUUAGAUACCCGCGUAGU
rnacentral:rRNA from 1 species